rnacentral:lncRNA from 1 species
UGUAAUCGAUUACCAGGCUUGAAAACGAGGUCAGGAAGCUAGGGAAGCCUCUGGUAAUCGAUUACCAAGGGGUGUAAUCGAUUACCAGGCUUAAAAAGGGAACUGGGAGAUGGUGGAAGCCUCUGGUAAUCGAUUACCAGCCUGUGUAAUCAAUUACACAGAGGAAUGGGUCACUGGUAAUCGAUUACCAGGCAUGUGUAAUCGAUUACACAAUGCAUUAUUGCA